GAACGCUGGCGGUGCGCCUUAUGCAUGCAAGUCGAGCGAAGCUUUUCAGUAGUUUACUACAGAAAAUGACUGAGCGGCGAACGGGUGAGUAACGCGUGAGCAAUCUACCUUAGUUACAGGGAUAGCCCGAGGAAACUCGGAUUAAUACCUGAUAUUCUUUAAAUUUCGCAUGAAAUUAAAAGGAAAGGUCAGCCGAACUAAGAUGAGCUCGCGUUCUAUCAGCUAGUUGGAGAGGUAAAAGCUCACCAAGGCUACGACGGAUAGCUGGACUGAGAGGACGAUCAGCCACACUGGGACUGAGACACGGCCCAGACUCCUACGGGAGGCUGCAGCAGGGAAUAUUGCGCAAUGAGCGAAAGCUUGACGCAGCGACACCGCGUGUGGGAUGACGGAUCUAGGUUUGUAAACCACUUUCAGGAGGGAAGAAAAUGACGGUACCUCCACAAGAAGCCCCGGCCAA
rnacentral:rRNA from 1 species